rnacentral:lncRNA from 1 species
CUCACGUCCCACGGACAUCCGUUGGCGCGCGCCCAUUUGAGAACGUCGAGGUGACCUCCGAGAGCCGCUUCGGCGCAAGUCUCUGCGUUCCACGGGCAUCCAUUGGCACGCAGCCACUGCAACACGCCCAGCUGUCCCAUGUAGGCUGCGUAGUGGCACAGGUCCUCCUUCAGCGGAUACCCGCCAGCGUGCAACCAUUCCACCGCGCCGAGGUGGCCGCCCGCGACCGCCGCGUACAUGCACGCCUCUCGAUUCAGCGGGCAUCUGUUCUCGCGCGCCCACUGGAGCACGCCCAAGUGUCCUCGUUCGAUCAGCGCCGUCGUAUAAGCACGCGGCGUCAGUUGCCGUGCCUCUGGGUGUCGAGCGCGUCGUGAACCCGACGCCAGCAGUUGGCGCCACUCUCUGCUCACCCACGCCGCCGCCACAGCGUCGAUCUCGUCCAAGUUUUCAAGAAUCAUCGACGUGAUUUCGUUCGGUAUCGGCAGCCCGCAGCCGUCGCCUUUUGGUUCGCUGCCUCCCUCCAUUGCGCGCUUUGUCUUUUUUUUAUCCUGCUUUUUCCUCUCUUGUUCUGGCGUAGGUCGCUUUUUCUUGCUUCGUGCCCGUCGCCGGCCACAUUGCGUGUUUUUUUUGUGCGCGCGGUCGCCCGACGUCGCCACUUUUGUCCUGUCGCUGUGUGUCUAUCUCAUGCCGAAAGUCGCGCGCCCGGCCAUUGGCCCUAUCGUUGGGUCGUUCGGUGUGCGCCCGCCUCUUUCUUUUUUUUUGCGAUCACCGCACGCGCCCACGCCGACAAUGUCUGCUGUCUUUUUUUUCGGUUGCAACAUUUCCUGUCGUGGCACCGCUAGAGGGCGGCGCGUUGGCCCAUCGCGCUCGCUGUGGCCCGCCCGUUCGUCUCCUUUGUCGAGCCCGACAAAAGACUCUUUUUUUGUUGUCGUCGUGUUCGGUAGAGCACAGGCUCUUUUUUGUCCCUUUUUUUUCCCCGAGAGAAUGGACCGGAAGGGAUGACACGCGAGCCGCGCAAAGGGAAAAAGAAAAAACAGUUUAAGGCACCUACCGGGAAUGACGACCCAAUGCGCCAUGGCCAAUGACACGAAUGUUUCCCGAUCAUAAAUGCACGUUUUCUCU